AGAACGAACGCUGGCGGCAUGCCUAAUACAUGCAAGUCGAACGAACUCUUCGGAGUUAGUGGCGCACGGGUGCGUAACGCGUGGGAAUCUGCCCUUGGGUUCGGAAUAACAGUUGGAAACGACUGCUAAUACCGGAUGAUGACGAAAGUCCAAAGAUUUAUCGCCCAGGGAUGAGCCCGCGUAGGAUUAGCUAGUUGGUGAGGUAAAGGCUCACCAAGGCGACGAUCCUUAGCUGGUCUGAGAGGAUGAUCAGCCACACUGGGACUGAGACACGGCCCAGACUCCUACGGGACGGCAGCAGUAGGGAAUAUUGGACAAUGGGCGAAAGCCUGAUCCAG
rnacentral:rRNA from 1 species